GGUUCGAUUCUGGCUCAGAUUGAACGCUGGCAGGAUACCACAUGCAAGUCAGGCGGCACGGACUUCGGUCUGGUGGCGAUGCGGCGGGCAGGGUGAUGUGCUGUGGACAUUAUUAUGCAGGGGAUAACUACACGAAAGCGUAAUAAUACCACAUGCGCCCAUCGGGAAAGCGGGGACGGGCCUCGCACUAUUAGAGCGACCGAUAUCGGAUUAGCUAGUUGGUGGGAAUGCGCAACUCCUGGGCGGCAAUCACGUAGCUGGUUUGAAGGACGACCAGCCACACUGGGACUGAGACACGGCCCGAACUCCUACAGGGAGGCAGCAGUGGGGAACUGGACAAUGAAACCCUGAUCCAGCCAUCCCGCGUAACACGUGAAGGCCUUCGGGUUAUGGCUUGCACAGCGGGAAAAACUGGCUUUGGAUAUCCCCGUAACUGACGUACCUGCAGAAUAAGCGCAACUAACUACGUGCCAACAGCCGCGGUAAUACGUAGGGUGGCCGUUAAUCAGAUUACUGGGCGUAAAGCGUGCGCAGGCGGUUCGGAAGAAGAUCGCCAGAAAUCCCAGAGCUUAACUUUGGAACUGCAUUUUUAACUACCGAGCUAGAGGUAUGUCUAGGAAGUGGAAUUCCGCGUGUAGCAGUGAAAUGCGUGGCUGUGCGGAGAGACACCAUUAAUGAAGAGCAACUCCUGGGAUAACCACGACGCUCGUGCACGAAAGCGUGGGGAGCAAACGGGAUUGAGAUACCCUGGUAAUUCACGCCUAAACGAUGUCAACUAGCUGUUGGGGCCUUCGGGCCUUGGUAGCUGUAAAAAAAUGAGUGUGACCUGUAGGAGAUGCGGUCGAGAUUAAAACUCAAAGGAAUUGACGGGGACCCGCACAAGCGGUGGAUGAUGUGGACAAUUCAGUGCAACGCGAAAACCUUACCUACCACUUCAGCAUGUCCCGGGAAUCCCGAAGGGUUUGAGUGCUCGCAAGAGAACCGGAACACAGGUGCUGCUGGCUGUCGUCAGCUCGUGUCGUGAGAUGUUGGGUUAGAAGUCCGCAACGAGCGCAGCCCUUGUCAUUAGUUACUACAGGGGCACUCUAUUGAACUGCCAGUGGCUCAUAGCGGAGGAAAGUGGGGAUAGCGUCAGUCCUCAUUUGCCAUGGGUGAACCACACAUCUGUACAAUGGGUGGGAUAGAGGGUCGCCAACCCGCGAAGGAGGCCAAUCCCAGAAACCCGAUCGUAGUCGGAUCGCAGUCUGCAACUCGACUGCGUGAAGUCAGAAUCGCUAGUAAUCGCGGAUCAGCAUGUCGCGGUGAAUACGUUCCCGGGUCUUGUACACACCGCCCGUCACACCAUGGGAGUGGGUUUUACCAGAAGUAGUUAGCCACAACCGUAAAGGAGGGCGAUUACCACGGUAGGAUUCAUGACUGGGGUGAAGUCGUAACAAAGUA
rnacentral:rRNA from 1 species